rnacentral:rRNA from 1 species
UACGUAGGGUGCAAGCGUUGUCCGGAAUCAUUGGGCGUAAAGCGCGCGUAGGUGGUCAUGUAAGUCCGCUGUGAAAGUCAAAGGCUCAACCUUUGAAAGCCGGUGGAUACUGCAUGACUAGAGUACGGAAGAGGCGAGUGGAAUUCCUGGUGUAGCGGUGGAAUGCGCAGAUAUCAGGAGGAACACCAAUAGCGAAGGCAGCUCGCUGGGACGUAACUGACGCUAAGGCGCGAAAGCGUGGGGAGCAAACAGG